UUAAUGCCUCUGUAUGAAUCUCUGCAGGCAUUUCCUACUGGGAACAUUUCCCAGUUUAGAAAAACAUGUAAUGGAGGGUAGCUGCAGCUCUCCUGUCUUGGCAUGUUACUCCCUUUUUGUGAGCCCUGUCCACGAGCAGACCUCUGGUUUCUGGAGGCUGCACAGGUCAUCAGGAGUACACAGAAGAGCUAUUUCUACCAUCCCCUCUCCUCUCUGCUACCUGGGCAUGCCUGACAGCUCUUCAAUGCUUGCAUAAGAGACAUGCAAUACAUGGGAAAAUGUUCCUCGAUGCUUCCAGACUCAUAGAUGGAGCACAUUUCUUCAUCUUCAGAAGCUGUGUGAAGGAGAACCUCCUGGAAUGUAUCCUAGAAGAGUCCCCUGGCCUGACUGGGAUGAAGACAACCAGUGGAGAGGGUGUGAUUUCCGCUGGGUGAAUCCUCACAAAGUACCCAUCUGAACUGGAAAAUGUUGGAGGUGGUGGAGGUUUACUCUUCCAAGGCUAAAGCCACAGGGUUAAAUGGUGUCAACCUGUUCUGAGUCUGUGAACGGGGUUUGAAAAAAUCUGUCUAAUGCCUGGUAUAUGGGAGUCUACAUGGAACAAAACAAGUCUUGUCACUUGCCAGCUUUGCCAGAAAAGCCCAUGGGGAGAGUGGGCACCAGAGUUUUAAGCAACCCCUCUCUCAGAAACAAUCUUCCUCGUGUCAAUGAUGAACAACAUUGGAAUGGAGUAAGCAAUCCCUGCUGCUGCUUCUGCUGCGUUGUUUGUGGAUAAAUAAAAGCAUUAAUUAACCAGACAUCUAAUUCCACUCCUUUUUAGUAAGCUGAACACGCACUCUGAUUAUCUUGGUGCAGGUAUGGAGAAGUAGAUUCGUUUAUGCUAGUAUCAAAUGUUAGUCACAUUGUUUUGGAUGCGAGAGAUGUUAGGCUGCAAGUCUAAUCUCUUCUCCUUUAGGGUCUCACUUUUUAUUUAGACUUUGAAAAUGUAUUGAAAUGAGGUUUUGACCGAAACUAAAUCACUAAGUACUUGAAAGUUAAAGAGCUUAUCAGGCAUCUGAUAAUGUUUUCAGGAUGUCCCCAGAUGAGACUGCGGAGUAUACAGAGAGGAAGCUGAAGUAUCGAGCUCCUGGCCAGAGCGUCUUCCUGCGCAAGAGUGGGGAUUUCUCUGACUUAAGUCUUUAGCUCUGCAUGCGUGGUCUAAGCCUUGAAAUCUGAAGGAUAAACAGAACGCAAAUCUCCCAGCUAGGCCCUCCGAGCAAGGCUAAUGGAGUGCUUUAGCAUAGCCCAACUUGCAAGGUCAGCAAAACAAUUCUCACCUCUCCCUGUGCUGAGUUACUUUCCUGGCUCUUUAUCAGCCAAGGAAUCAGAAAGGGACUUUCCAGAGCUGUAAACAUGUGAGCUGAAGAGAUGGAACGACCCUAUAUGCAAAUGAGUUUUGAUUCCCUUCCUUUUAUAAAGUUUAAGUGUUUUUGAGAGAGAAUCAGAUCCUCCAGAUUGUGGGAGUCUGAGGAGGUUACCUUGGGCCGGCAGUGUCUCUGUGCCUGCUGUCUGCCUUUCCAUUGUAGAGAAGAAAAUGGAGUGAUGUAAAAUAGAAAAUGAGAAAUACAAACCUGUGGUGAUGGAAGAUGAGGAAGGAACAUGAAAAAGAAAAAGCUGAAGAGUGGCAAAAAGAUAAAAAUAAAAUUAAUUUUGGGAAUUCCACUGUGACUAAUAGGCAAAAAAAAUGUAAGCUGAUUUAUUACGUUUAUCUUCUGCCUGAGAGCCAGUACGCUUUGUUUGUAUAAGUGAAAGGUAAUUUGCACAUUAAAGAUUGAAUCAAAAUGUCAAAUUCUUCCUCAGUUCCUCCAGUUUUGAACCAGGGUAGUUCUGUCAGCUUCAAUGGAGUUACAUUCUGUAAAUGCAAUAUAAUGAAUAUCAAGUCUUUGAAGUAGUUUUGAGUUAUAUUUAUGCUAACGGGAUGAGAAAUUUAGAAUGACUUAAAUAUUGUUGUGUCAGGUAAUCUGCACAUUUUCUGGUGCUUCUCUUCACCGCACAGGAAAUUUUUCUCUUGUCCUUCUAAUGCUGUUGUGACUUUAUUCCAAAUCCAAUGGAAUUCAGAAAUAAAGGGUGGUGGUAUCAUUAUGUGCAUUAAUAUUUUCUUUGAAUUAUGAUUUAUAUCUAUUCAUUUUUUUCUUUUAAAUCUGUAUCUUAACCCACUUAAGUAACAACUAUUUAAACAGGGAGAGGAUGUGAGUUAGUUGAUGUAUGUAAUGGCAGGAUUACAAAAAGGUGAUUAAUUGAUGUUUGCCUCUUUGUUUUAUAACUGCUUAUACAGAGUGUAACAAUUUUUUAUUAGUAAUAUAGUCUAGUAGUUAUGUAGUGACAAAUACUCUAAAUACCCAGUACUUUUUAAUUAUUAGAAUGUGUAAUUUGGGAAGGAAUAAGAAAUGGCCAUCUACUCCUUCCUUUUUAUUGUUUUUUCUAUUUUCUUGUUUCGGGUAUUUAGAUUAUUUUUGAAACAUACAGAUUGACGAGUCAUUUCAAGCUUGCUCCAUUCCACUAUAUUUAUCAGGAAUUAGUUCAGCUGAACAGUUACCACACUACUGGAGAAAGCACAAGUGUCACUUCCAGCAUCUGCCCUGGGCAUGGUGAUCAGAUAUCCUGACAAAGGAAGGAAGCGUCACUGGGUUUGGGACAGCUCUCUAUUCGAAGAGCCCAUCCCCCAGGAUUCUGUUCUCCUUGAUCCAAGACACUGCUUGAAUCUGGUGAAAAAAGUAAACCUCUUGUGCUGGAGGGCCUGAUGAACUGCUUCAAAACCAGAAUGAGAACAAACAGCAAAGCAGCACAGAGAGAGGAGCUGCAGAUGGUCUCUAGGUGCUGGUGUGUUUCACUUUGCAGGUGAGUGCUGUGGAGAGGCUCAGUGCAGGCUGCAGGGAGGUGUUCUCAGCAGAUCAUUUCAGGUACCUCCAAACAGUGGCUGUGCAUUGCACACUUAUCUGAGGAUGGCUCUGCACAGCCUGCCCUUUGGUAAUCCAGGACAAGGCAGCUCUUGCCGACUGUGGCUCAUCUUUUUGGCUAGCAUCCCUUUUUGCUUCCAGGAAAAUGAUGAGUUUAUGUCAGGUUCAGUAAUCCUGAUGUCUGCACAGUCGAGAGAAAAAGCAUUUCACUGUGAGAGUGUGUGUGCCUGUACAGCUUUGACAAGCCUCUUGUCUCCCUUGGUGAAGAGACAGCAGGGCUGAAAAUCUAUGGAGUCAUAUUUGCUGACUAAGGUCACUAGCUGGCAAUGACUCAAAAUAUGUUUUUCUGGCAGCCCAACAGUACGGAAUGUUGUGCUUUUUCUGUUUCUUUCCUUGAAAAAAUACUCUGCAUCAGAAAAGUUAAUGCCUCAAGAGAUCCAGGAAGGUCUGUUCCUUUGAUAGGAUACAUACAUGCACUCUAGUACAGAAUUCUCUGUUCACUGGCAUCCCUUCUUCACUCUGCUGUGCUAGCCUAUUUUCACAUUGAGAAAGAGAAACUUUUAUAACUUACAUUAUAAACUAUAUUUACUAGAUUGUCUUUCUGGUAGCUAUUCUUUUUUUCCACUUUCUGAUCACUUACUGUCGAUGUGGAGAAGGGUGUUGGGCAAAGCCACCUGGACAGGCUGUACCAAGAUCUCACUGAGUGCCUGAGAUGUUUCUGCCUGCCAUGAAGUAGCUAAUUUCUAAAAUGAGGAACUUUUCCACUUUUUAGAAAAUCCAUGUUCCAUGCUAAAGAUAGUACUUAAAGUGCCUCCACACCUAUGAAUCAUAAAAUCACAGUACCAUAGAAUGGUUUGGUUUGGAAGUAAUCUGAAAAAUCAUGGAGUUCUAACCACCUGCCAUGUGCAGGGCAACAUUCCACAAGACCAGGCUUCUCCAAGCCCCAUCCUGGCCUUGAACACUUCCUUGAGUACUUGAAAUUAGUCAAAAAAAGCAUUUUGUUAGAAGAAUCUGCCAUUAUAGCUUUUCUUACUUUCAUUUUUCUAACUUUUUUUAAAAGCUUUUUUCUGACUUUGUUCCCCUUUGUUUUUCUUUG